rnacentral:rRNA from 1 species
GACGAACGCUGGCGGCGUGCCUAAUACAUGCAAGUCGAACGAACUCUGGUAUUGAUUGGUGCUUGCAUCAUGAUUUACAUUUGAGUGAGUGGCGAACUGGUGAGUAACACGUGGGAAACCUGCCCAGAAGCGGGGGAUAACACCUGGAAACGGAUGCUAAUACCGCAUAACAACUUGGACCGCAUGGUCCGAGUUUGAAAGAUGGCUUCGGCUAUCACUUUUGGAUGGUCCCGCGGCGUAUUAGCUAGAUGGUGGGGUAACGGCUCACCAUGGCAAUGAUACGUAGCCGACCUGAGAGGGUAAUCGGCCACAUUGGGACUGAGACACGGCCCAAACUCCUACGGGAGGCAGCAGUAGGGAAUCUUCCACAAUGGACGAAAGUCUGAUGGAGCAACGCCGCGUGAGUGAAGAAGGGUUUCGGCUCGUAAAACUCUGUUGUUAAAGAAGAACAUAUCUGAGAGUAACUGUUCAGGUAUUGACGGUAUUUAACCAGAAAGCCACGGCUAACUACGUGCCAGCAGCCGCGGUAAUACGUAGGUGGCAAGCGUUGUCCGGAUUUAUUGGGCGUAAAGCGAGCGCAGGCGGUUUUUUAAGUCUGAUGUGAAAGCCUUCGGCUCAACCGAAGAAGUGCAUCGGAAACUGGGAAACUUGAGUGCAGAAGAGGACAGUGGAACUCCAUGUGUAGCGGUGAAAUGCGUAGAUAUAUGGAAGAACACCAGUGGCGAAGGCGGCUGUCUGGUCUGUAACUGACGCUGAGGCUCGAAAGUAUGGGUAGCAAACAGGAUUAGAUACCCUGGUAGUCCAUACCGUAAACGAUGAAUGCUAAGUGUUGGAGGGUUUCCGCCCUUCAGUGCUGCAGCUAACGCAUUAAGCAUUCCGCCUGGGGAGUACGGCCGCAAGGCUGAAACUCAAAGGAAUUGACGGGGGCCCGCACAAGCGGUGGAGCAUGUGGCUUAAUUCGAAGCUACGCGAAGAACCUUACCAGGUCUUGACAUACUAUGCAAAUCUAAGAGAUUAGACGUUCCCUUCGGGGACAUGGAUACAGGUGGUGCAUGGUUGUCGUCAGCUCGUGUCGUGAGAUGUUGGGUUAAGUCCCGCAACGAGCGCAACCCUUAUUAUCAGUUGCCAGCAUUAAGUUGGGCACUCUGGUGAGACUGCCGGUGACAAACCGGAGGAAGGUGGGGAUGACGUCAAAUCAUCAUGCCCCUUAUGACCUGGGCUACACACGUGCUACAAUGGAUGGUACAACGAGUUGCGAACUCGCGAGAGUAAGCUAAUCUCUUAAAGCCAUUCUCAGUUCGGAUUGUAGGCUGCAACUCGCCUACAUGAAGUCGGAAUCGCUAGUAAUCGCGGAUCAGCAUGCCGCGGUGAAUACGUUCCCGGGCCUUGUACACACCGCCCGUCACACCAUGAGAGUUUGUAACACCCAAAGUCGGUGGGGUAACCUUUUAGGAACCAGCCGCCUAAGGUGGGACAGAUGAUUAGGGUG